UACGUAGGGUGCAAGCAUUAAUCGGAAUUACUGGGCGUAAAGCGUGCGCAGGCGGUUUUGUAAGUCUGUCGUGAAAUCCCCGGGCUCAACCUGGGAAUUGCGAUGGAGACUGCAAGGCUAGAAUCUGGCAGAGGGGGGGUAGAAUUCCACGUGUAGCAGUGAAAUGCGUAGAGAUGUGGAGGAACACCGAUGGCGAAGGCAGCCCCCUGGGUCAAGAUUGACGCUCAUGCACGAAAGCGUGGGGAGCAAACGAGGAUU
rnacentral:rRNA from 1 species